rnacentral:rRNA from 1 species
AACGAACGCUGGCGGCAUGCCUAACACAUGCAAGUCGAACGAUCCCUUCGGGGGUAGUGGCGCACGGGUGCGUAACGCGUGGGAAUCUGCCCUUGGGUUCGGAAUAACAGUUAGAAAUGACUGCUAAUACCGGAUGAAGUCUUCGGACCAAAGAUUCAUCGCCCAGGGAUGAGCCCGCGUAGGAUUAGGUAGUUGGUGAGGUAAAGGCUCACCAAGCCGACGAUCCUUAGCUGGUCUGAGAGGAUGAUCAGCCACACUGGGACUGAGACACGGCCCAGACUCCUACGGGAGGCAGCAGUGGGGAAUAUUGGACAAUGGGCGCAAGCCUGAUCCAGCAAUGCCGCGUGAGUGAUGAAGGCCUUCGGGUCGUAAAGCUCUUUUACCCGGGAUGAUAAUGACAGUACCGGGAGAAUAAGCUCCGGCUAACUCCGUGCCAGCAGCCGCCGUAA